GCAGCCUGACAGACGCCGCGGGAGAUGAGGCUCGUUGUAACUUGUCAGGUUUCGACUGGGACGAAUACCUCGUAAGAGGGGUGACGGUACCAGUAGAAGAAGCCCCGGCUAACUACGUGCCAGCAGCCGCGGUAAGACGUAGGGGGCCAGCGUUGUUCGGAAUUACUGGGUGUAAAGGGUUCGUAGGCGGUGUGGCAAGUCGGGAGUGAAAUUUCUGGGCUUAACCCAGAAGCUGCUUCCGAAACUGCUGUGCUUGAGUGUGGGAGAGGCGCGUGGAAUUGCAGGUGUAGCGGUGAAAUGCGUAGAUAUCUGCAGGAACACCCGUGGCGAAAGCGGCGCGCUGGACCACAACUGACGCUGAGGAACGAAAGCUAGGGGAGCAAACAGGAUUAGAUACCCGGGUAGUCCUAGCCCUAAACGAUCAGGACUUGGGGGUGCCGCACGUUCGUGCGUCGUCCCGGAGCUAACGCGUUAAGACCUGCACCUGGGGAGUACGGUCGCAAGACUGAAACUCAAAGGAAUUGACGGGGGCCCGCACAAGCGGUGGAACAUGUGGUUCAUUCGACGCUACGCGAGGAACCUUACUGGGCUCGAAAUGCUUCUGAA
rnacentral:rRNA from 1 species